ACGUAGGUGACGAGCGUUGUUCGGAAUUAUUGGGCGUAAAGGGUUCGUAGGAGGUUUAUUAAGAUUGGUGUGAAAUCCCAAGGCUCAACCUUGGAACUGCAUUGAUUACUGAUGAACUAGAGUGUCGUAGAGGAAAGCGGAAUUCCAGGUGUAGCGGUGGAAUGCGUAGAUAUCUGGAAGAACACCGACAGCGAAGGCGCCUAACUGGAACGAACCUGACGGUGAGUAACGAAAGCCAGGGGCGCGAACCG
rnacentral:rRNA from 1 species